UACAAUUGUUGAGAAACCUCUCUUUUCUUCUCCUUUCAUAUAUUUCUUCAUUUCUAUCCAAUUUUAGCACUGAUGAGCAUUCUGGUUCUAUCCAACUAUCCAUCUUCACCAUUUACAAAUUGUGAAUUUCAACAUCACUCCAUGCACAUCUUGAGGAGUAUUGAAGAAUCUCAUAUUCAUAAGAAAAUUAUGUGAUUGAUUAACAGGAAUUGUUGGCUUGAUUAAUACUUGUAUAAAUGAGUAAUUUAUGGUUUAUUGAUAGGAUAUCAUAUAAAUCUUGUGUCUUACAUUAAAAAUAUGGAUUCUUAUGUAUUAUAUUAAACACACAAGUUAAUGAAAUGUAAGCCUUGAGAUUUUGUGUCUGUGGAGUAGGUUCUCGUUAGCCGAACCACUAAAUCCUUCUCUUGUUAAUUUCUCAUAUCUUGUUUAACAUUCUAAAUUUCAUAUCCUAUUUAGGAAUUUUUU
rnacentral:misc_RNA from 1 species